rnacentral:rRNA from 1 species
AACGAACGCUGGCGGCAUGCCUAACACAUGCAAGUCGAACGAGACCUUCGGGUCUAGUGGCGCACGGGUGCGUAACGCGUGGGAACCUGCCCUUAGGUUCGGAAUAACUCCCCGAAAGGGGUGCUAAUACCGGAUAAUGUCUUCGGACCAAAGAUUUAUCGCCUUUGGAUGGGCCCGCGUUGGAUUAGCUAGUUGGUAGGGUAAAAGCCUACCAAGGCGACGAUCCAUAGCUGGUCUGAGAGGAUGAUCAGCCACACUGGGACUGAGACACGGCCCAGACUCCUACGGGAGGGAGCAGUGGGGAAUAUUGGACAAUGGGCGAAAGCCUGAUCCAGCAAUGCCGGGUGAGUGAUGAAGGCCUUAGGGUUGUAAAGCUCUUUUACCCGGGAUGAUAAUGACAGUACCGGGAGAAUAAGCACCGGCUAACUCCGUG